rnacentral:lncRNA from 1 species
UAUAAAUAGCAAUUAAUUAUAGCUAUAAAAUAGCUGGAUUUUAGGUUUUUGUUAAAUAUACGUGUAAAUAGCACAUCUACCAGUGUAUUUUUAUAUAAUAAUAUCCAUAUACAAUUUUAAAUUUAUUUUUACUCAAAGAAUUGAUCAUCAUUGUAACUCAUUGCUGUCGUAGGUAUGCUAAAGCAUCAUUUAUUGAGAAAGAUUUUAAAAAAAAUGGACAAAAAAGUGUUUGCAGGUCAACCCAACCGGCCACCUGGACCUGUUUUGACCCAAUACGACCCACUCAUAAUGCCACCUCUAAAAGGAAGUAGAAAAGGAAACCUCGUAGACCAUCCUCAAUAGCAGUAAUAGCUCCUACAUAGUCUGUAUUACAACCAUAUAGCUUCCCGUCAUCUUGUCUCCUAAUAACGCAAUUGACUGCUCCUAUCGACUGUAAUAGACAACCCGUAACACGAUAAAUGUAAAACAAUGCCUCACUAAUGAAUUGUUAACAAUAUAAUUUACCUUUGCAACCGGAUCAACCUCAUCGCAGCAUUCAACCACCGCUUCUUUGUGAGGAAUGGUACAACUGCAUUCAACAACGAUCAUACAUUUAGAUUUUACUAAUUCUAACAACCGGAAAGAUUUUGAAACGAUAAAAUAACCUGAACCCGGCAUAAUCUGUGGACGAGUAAGUCUCGAGAAAAUUCUUCACAUUAUCCACUAACAAAUGUACAUAAACUCCAUUGAAGCCAAUUGAUCUAAAAGCUUUAUUGUAUAACAUAGGCGACUUGCUAUGCCCGACUGGCUUCCCGAUAAUACCGUAUACUUUUGUGUCAGGCGCUAUUUGCCUGAAAUUGAACACAUCCAAAAGAUCCCGGAUUGUCGGCUGCCCGGGGGCAGAUUCCUUUCCACGUCCAAGGGUAGCAAAUGUCAAAUAUCCACCGAAUUUCGGGCUCAGUAAUCGAGAUAUCAAACCCCUCUCACCCAUUGCCAUUGAUAUUAUUGGAACCUGCAAGAUUAACCAAGUUACGUAAAUAAAAUAAAGAGUAAAAUGCUAUUUUCGUCCCUGUGGUUUGGCCAGUUUUGCGACGUUCGUCCAAAGGUUUGUUUUUCCACCUUAGGGACGAAAACGCCAUUUUACUCUAAAACAAAUAAAACAGGUUAAUAUUAUGAGGUUUUCUUACAUGACAAUUCAAGAAGAAUGUUUACUAUCCACUUUUAUGUCAUUUUGUUUUUAUCUUAAUUCUUCACUUAACAAAUGCCACACCGAUAGAAACAAUAAGGUGCAUUGAAACGGGCUGAUGCUGCUAACCUGAGAAUGAGCGGUUACAUGAAAAAUUCGCGCUACAUCAGUUAUGUCUACAGCCAUUGUUGCAAUCUUAACAAUGUCAGCUCCUGUUGAUUGUAUUCUGGCGACAAGGCUCUCGAGGUCUUCUAGCGAUGGAGUAUUUUGAUAAUUGUGAGAUGAAACAAUGAGUUUGCAUUUUGUCGGCUUAUCUCCGCGGGUUAAGUUUUUGAACUCAUCAACAGCCUGCAACUCAACAUCAAUGUGAUCAGCUCCCAACUCCAUUGCUAACUUAAGAGCAGCCAGUCGACUUUGUUCAUCCCCAUCAUACUGACCACCUUCCCAUGUUGGUCUACAAAACAACACAGAAUCAAUCAUACACCACUAGGUCUGUAAACGAACCGAACGGAGCCUUGUUCAUGUUCGUUUAUUUAGCAUUGAACUUGUUCACAAACGGUUCACAAACAUAUAUGGAACGAAGAUUCUUUUUCUUGUUCGUGUUCGUUCAUUAAGGAAUAGAACUCGUUCACAAACACAAACGAACAUAUACCAAUUUUAAUAUUUUAAAAAAACAGCAUUCUUAAUCCCAAACAUUAUACAUAAUCACCUUGUUAAGCACUUGAUAUAAUAAGCAUAAACAUAAUUAUCCCAAAAUAAUGUUUGAAAAAUCUAAGUUUCUAAUGACCCAAAAUAAACUAAACAAAACAAACGACAAUGAACAAAUGUAAAAUAAACGAACAUGUUACCGAACGUUCACGAAUACAACUAAGAAUACAACUAACACGGCCCUUAUUCAUGUUCAUUCAUUUAAUUAAUGGAAUGAAAUUUCCCUUCAUUUCUCAAACAAACGAACAUAAACAAACUUCCUGCCAAACGGGUCGCUGGAUGUUCGGUUCGUUUACUAUACACCAUUAUAAGGCAGAUUAAGUAUCACCUGUAAGUGAAAAGUGUGGGGAGAGGACAAGAUUCAAUUAGGGUCUUUAUAUCCUCAUGGGUACCAGACCCUUUUAAGCUAUCAAACCGGAUUUCAACAAGAUCAGCUCCACUAGAUUUAGCCGAAUUCAUGUGAAGCAACAUCUGAUCCACCGUAUCCGCCAUUAUGGGUGCACAGAUUAAGGUUGACUUUGUUCUAAGCCCUUCAGUUUCUGCCAUGUUCUCCAUUGCAGGUGUGGUGAGGGAGGAAGAUGAAGGAUUGGUGGCAGUGGUAAGUGAGGAGGAUGAGUACGGUGGUUGGUGGAGACUUCAGAA